rnacentral:rRNA from 1 species
UACAGAGGGGGCAAGCGUUGUUCGGAAUUACUGGGCGUAAAGGGCGCGUAGGCGGCCUUCUAAGUCGGACGUGAAAUCCCUCGGCUUAACCGAGGAACUGCGUCCGAUACUGAAAGGCUUGAAUCCGGGAGAGGGAUGUGGAAUUCCAGGUGUGGCGGUGAAAUGCGUAGAUAUCUGGAGGAACACCGGUGGCGAAGGCGGCAUCCUGGACCGGCAUUGACGCUGAGGCGCGAAAGCUAGGGGAGCAAACGGG